rnacentral:rRNA from 1 species
AUUGAACGCUGGCGGCAGGCUUAACACAUGCAAGUCGAGCGGGGGAAGGUAGCUUGCUACCGGACCUAGCGGCGGACGGGUGAGUAAUGCUUAGGAAUCUGCCUAUUAGUGGGGGACAACAUCUCGAAAGGGAUGCUAAUACCGCAUACGUCCUACGGGAGAAAGCAGGGGAUCUUCGGACCUUGCGCUAAUAGACGAGCCGAAGUCGGAUUAGCUAGUUGGUGGGGUAAAGGCCUACCAGGGCGACGAUCUGUAGCGGAUCUGAGAGGAUGAUCCGCCACACUGGGACUGAGACACGGCCCAGACUCCUACGGGAGGCAGCAGUGGGGAAUAUUGGACAAUGGGGGGAACCCUGAUCCAGCCAUGCCGCGUGUGUGAAGAAGGCCUUAUGGUUGUAAAGCACUUUAAGCGAGGAGGAGGCUACUUUAGUUAAUACCUAGAGAUAGUGGACGUUACUCGCAGAAUAAGCACCGGCUAACUCUGUGCCAGCCGCCGCGGUAA